rnacentral:rRNA from 1 species
UACGGAGGGUGCAAGCGUUAAUCGGAUUUACUGGGCGUAAAGAGCACGUAGGCGGUUAUGUAAGUUGAAUGUGAAAGCCCUGGGCUUAACCUAGGAAUUGCAUCCAAAACUACAUGGCUAGAGUACAGUAGAGGAGAGUAGAAUUUCCGGUGUAGCGGUGAAAUGCGUAGAGAUCGGAAGGAAUACCAGUGGCGAAGGCGACUCUCUGGAUUGAUACUGACGCUCAGGUGCGAAAGCGUGGGGAGCAAACAGG